GGGGCGAGGCUUGGGUAGAGAUGCCCUUAGGAGUUACAUGCAGACCAAGUGAAUACGUUUCUGCAUUGACCAGGACUACUUAAGGACAGCACAAAGUGAAUGCAGCUUGAUAAUGCUUCCGACUCCGACACCACGACACGAUACCCUUCUUGAGCAAGACCCACUAGAUACCCAAGACUGCUGUUGUGCCUGUCCAAAACGUCCCUGAGGAGGAGUCCAGGCACCCGAUCUGAGAUUGAAGAGGGUUCCGCAUGCCAGGAGUUCAGCAGUGAAGAAGAGAGAAGGGUCCUGCACACCCGGAGUCUCUAAUCGAGCAGGGAGACAGAUGGGGAAGGAGUAAUUAGCAGAGUGAUGGGGCUGCAAAUGAGAAGUCUGGUGCUUUGGGAGCCUCCGAUGUGCCGAGGGAGAGAAGCCAUGAGCCAAGGUGGAGGGGGUGAGAAGUAGGAAUGCCCUCACCACGGAGGUUCUGCCCACCAUUUCCUCCCAGGAUGCCUGCAUGCCACACCAGAAUCCACACACUAGGACUCCACGUACAAAGCUGCAGCUUUCUCUGUUAGGCAUGGCGGAGGGGCUGAGGCAAAUGGUCAACUGCUCUCAGCCCUUUCCAGCAGGGCUUUCUCCCACCUUCCUUUUCAUUUGUCACAGCUUUCUUCCAUCGCCAGCUGGGUGACAACUUGGAACAACAAUAAAAAAAAUCCUUUCCAAAGUAAA